CUGUUCACUUUGGCAACAUAUACACUAAAAUUGGAACGAUGCAGAGAUCAGCAUGACACCUGCACAAAGAUGCUACAAAGUCACAAAGCAUUCCAUGUUUUU